rnacentral:rRNA from 1 species
GACAGAGGAUGCAAGCGUUAUCCGGAAUGAUUGGGCGUAAAGCGUCUGUAGGUGGCUUUUAAGUCCGCCGUCAAAUCCCAGGCUCAACCCUGGACAGGCGGUGGAAACUACCAAGCUGGAGUACGGUAGGGGCAGAGGGAAUUUCCGGUGGAGCGGUGAAAUGCGUAGAGAUCGGAAGUACACCAACGGCGAAAGCACUCUGCUGGCCGACACUGACACUGAGAGACGAAAGCUAGGGAGCGAAUGGG